UUCCUGGAAAUUAAUGCAGCUUAUUAUGCUUCACAUUGGAAGAGGCAAAGAGCCAUAGCCUCACACCUUUCCAUGAAUUAUUCUAAAGUUGGCAGCAGACUACCUAAAUGAAAAAGCAACAGCAAAACAACACCCAGAGGUUACAGGAGCUGGGAUCUUGAACUUGGUGGUUUGGGAACCAGGUUUUGCUGCUGACAGUACAUUGGAAGCCAGAAUCUAGGACUGAGCCUGGCUUGGAGAUCAAUGGAGUUGGCCUGGAACAAGAAACCCUCUCGAAUACAAUUUGUGACAAUAGAAGGGAGUUUUCCAGCCAGUGCAUCCUGUGCAGCAGGAGACACAGAGACAGAAUCAAAGAAGAGCUGAGUUUUGGCAAUGGAAGAGAAAUCAGGGAGGAUGACUUCCACAGUGGCUGCCCAGUCAUGCGGGCUGGCACUAUGCCCUCAUCAAAGCAGUUCCUGCCAGCUUAUAUGCAGCAAUAGAGUCUGUUACCUGUGUUUUCUGACUUCUCCAAAUGGGCCUGUCAGCCCCUAUCACCCCAGAUAACCUAACCCAGUCCUUGUCACUUAUGCCUCACACAUAUCCCUCCCUUAGGCUUAAACUCCCAAUAACACACCCCAUCACUAUCUUGUCCUGUGGGAAUGGAGUGGCGAGAGUCUUGGAGCCCUGUAGACCCUGAUGCUUGAAUCCUAACCCCACUCUGACAUCCAGCUUUACUUCUUUCCCCAAGUAACUCUUUCCUUCCAUUGUCUGCCAGCUCCAAGAGAAAGAGUAUUAGGCCUAGGGGUGCUUUCCAACGGGCCCUGAGUGUUUGGGGUGUACAUCAAAUGUUUUCUGGGGGAACAGCAAGUCAAAUGCCGUAUGCAACUCAGAAGGCCAUACAAGUACAGAACCUCCAUAUCCUGGGUCCACCAAGGCCUUGGAGUGACUGGGGAAUGAAACUAGAAUCCUUUUCCAGGCCUUCAAACCCCACAGUUAGUCCCACUGUCUGCACAAGACAUCAGAGCUCACAGAAGUCCCCUUGUCUCUGAGGUUGGCCAGAGGAACAAGCUGCUAGUGAGUAUCAGUGCUAGAAAUGCUGGCAACAAGCAGCAUAGGACACUUUUUUUUUUGAGUUUUAUUUUUUUAUUUUUUUAAUAUGAAAUUUAUUAUCAAAUUGGUUUCCAUACAUCACCCAGUGCUCCUCCCAACACAUAGGACACUUUUAAUGCUCCUAUAAAGCAUGUGUAUUCUGAGGAACUUACACUCCUGAGCAGCUGGGGCUACAUCUGUAAAUGUCACACAUAAUGAGCUGUUCCAAGAAAGAUCCAGGAAUACAAAAAGCUUGAUUUCCUGGCUCCAGUGCCUCCCCUUGGAAACCUUCUCCUCUGAGGACAAUUUGGCAAAAGGUCAAAUUGGUAACUUGACCUUUACACACACACACACACACACACACACACACACACACACGCAUAUGCACAGAGAGAGAGAGAGAGAGAGAGAGAGAGAACAAGAAAAUCACUUGGUUAUAUUAAGCAUCCCAUCACAUUCCUCUCUCAGGAAGGCAGGAUAGACAAAAAGAAAAAAUAAUUGACAAGGCACCUGUUUUUUUUACAUAGAUCUACUUCUUUCUAACUCUCUUGCAGGUUCUCUUGCUGUUCUAUUACUUGGUAACCAAUUGCCCCAGCUCCAAAUCUGUUCCUCCUUUCCAUAAUCAUAAUAUCUAGAAGUUGAGUUCCCAAGGCAACCACAAAUAUUUGUUAUUCUUUCUGCCAUGUGAUUUUCCCUAAAAAUAAACUCAGAUAUUUUUCCUACCAUCAAAAUGCCAUGAAGAAUGUUAAUGGAUAUUGCUUUUUUAUGCAUACCUGUGAAAUAAAGAAGGUGUAAUGCUGCUUAGGCAAAAUUUCCAGAAAUACUGUGAAAGUCCUAAAGUGGAACAUAAUAUAAAAGCUGGGGUGUUAGAUUGUUCUAUCUUUAAAAUGGAACAAGGCAUGGGGGAAAGGAUUA